CCGUGCAGCCGGGGAGUUAGCGGUGCCCUGUACCUGCAAUCCGCUAUAGCAGGGGUGUUGUUCUGCCGAGGGCUUUAAGAAGAGGAGCUGCCCAGAAUAAGCGGCGUUGACAUCUGGGUCUUGCGCAAUAGAAACUUGUGAACCGUGUCAGGUCAGGAAUGAAGCAGCACUAAGCAAUGUUUUCUGUGUGACGCGAGGGUGCCUGGAUUGAGUUGGCUGUUCUGGUAACGUCUUUUGAUUUUAGUUCGACGCAGGAUGCACGG
rnacentral:SRP_RNA from 1 species